GGUCGAGCAAUGGUGCGCAGACAAUGUAACGGGGCUAAGCGGUAUACCGAAGCUUUGGAUUCAUACUUUUAGGGUAUGGAUGGUAGGGGAGCAUUCCAUGGACCGGAGAAGGUACACUGAGAGGUGUGCUGGAGGGGAUGGAAGAGAGAAUGCAGGUAUAAGUACACGAAAAGACGGGUGAGAUUCCCGUCCGCCGGAAACCUAAGGUUUCCUGGGUAAAGGUCAUCUGCCCAGGGUUAGUCGGUCUCUAAGAUGAGGCGGAAGCGCGUAGUCGAUGAGAAUCCGGUUCAUAUUCCGGAACCAUAUAUAAGUUCGAAGGGAUGACGCAUGAGGUGGAGCACUGCCGGCUGACGGAAUAGCCGGUUGACCUAGCGAGCUUAAGAGGUAGCGAGGCAAAUCCAGCUACUGAGGUGAGCUAGGGAGGGAGGGAAGCUACGGUGGAACGAAGUGUGCCGAAUCAAGGUGCCAAGAAAGAGUCUCUAAGGUUAACUUAUAUAUGACCGUACCGUAAACGGACACACGUAGGUAGGAUGAGAAAUCUAAGGCGCUCGAGAGAACUCGCGUUAAGGAACUCGGCAAAAUGCACACGUAACUUAGGGAGAAGUGUGGCCUAUUGAAAGAUAGGUUGCAGAAAAUAGGCCCAGGCGACUGUUUACCAAAAACACAGGACUCUGCGAACGCGCAAGCGGAAGUAUAGGGUCUGACGCCUGCCCGGUGCUGGAAGGUUAAGAGGAGGGGUUAGCAGGUAACUGCGAAGCUCUGAAUUGAAGCCCCAGUAAACGGCGGCCGUAACUAUAACGGUCCUAAGGUAGCGAAAUUCCUUGUCGGGUAAGUUCCGACCCGCACGAAUGGUGUAACGAUCUGGGCACUGUCUCGACGCGAGACUCGGUGAAAUUUAAGUACCGGUAAAGAUGCCGGUUACCCGUGGUUAGACGGAAAGACCCCAUGAACCUUUACUGUAGCUUAUCAUUGGGACUUGGCUUUACAUGUGUAGGAUAGGUGGGAGACUAGGAAGCAUGGCCGCUAGGCUGUGUGGAGUCGUUGGUGAAAUACCACCCUUGUAAGGCUAGGUUUCUAACUUAGUUUGUAAAGCCAGGCUAGGGACAGUGGUAGGUGGGCAGUUUGACUGGGGCGGUCGCCUCCUAAAAGGUAACGGAGGUGCGCGAAGGUUGCCUUGCGCUGGGUGGAAAUCAGCGCUUAAAGUGUAAAGGCAUAAGGCAGCUUGACUGCGAGUCUGACAGGACGAGCAGGUACGAAAGUAGGUCUUAGUGAUCUGGCGGUAGCGAGUGGAAGCGCCGUCACUUAACGGAUAAAAGGUACUCUGGGGAUAACAGGCUGAUCUUGCCCAAGAGUUCAUAUCGACGGCAAGGUUUGGCACCUCGAUGUCGGCUCAUCGCAUCCUGGGGCUGGAGCAGGUCCCAAGGGUUUGGCUGUUCGCCAAUUAAAGCGGUACGUGAGCUGGGUUCAGAACGUCGUGAGACAGUUCGGUCCCUAUCUGCCACGGGCGUUGGAUGGUUGAGAGGAGCUGCUUUUAGUACGAGAGGAUCGAAGUGGACGAACCUCUGGUGUACCAGUUAUCCUGCCAAGGGUAAGUGCUGGGUAGCUAAGUUCGGAAGGGAUAACCGCUGAAAGCAUCUAAGUGGGAAGCCCACCUCAAGAUGAACCAUCCCUGGGGAUUAAAUCCCCCUUAAGGUACCAGACAGACUAUCUGGUCGAUAGGCUGGAGGUGGAAGUGCGGUAACGCAUGGAGCCGACCAGUACUAAUCUACCGUGAGGCUUGACCAU
rnacentral:rRNA from 1 species